AUUCUGUAUUCCUGACAUUUUUGCUUUGGUUAUGAACUCAUCUUUAUUGUGAACUUUUAAUUUCACUGACUGUUUUGUUGGAUUUUUCAUUAUUUUUGCUGUUUAUAUGAGUUUAAUGAUGCUCUGCAAUGCUUUGUUAGUUGAUUUAUGGGUUGAAAGUGCUAAUUGUUCUAAUUUUGGAUGAAAUUAACUUACACUAUCUUGAAAUAUUGGAUUAUAGGAAGGUGAAACCAUUCG
rnacentral:misc_RNA from 1 species